CUGACUUUCAGCAGUGGAAUGUUUAGGCUCGAUACAUCGUGCUGCGGCGUUUAAUGGAGGAGUGUUCGAUUCGCGGUAUGGUUGGCUUCGGCUGAACAGGCGCUUAUUGUAUGCUUUUCCUGCUGUGGCGUGAUGGGCUGGUGAACCGUAGCUGUG
rnacentral:rRNA from 1 species